UACAUAGGGUGCGAGCGUUGUCCGGAAUUAUUGGGCGUAAAGGGCUCGUAGGCGGUUUGUCGCGUCGGGAGUGAAAACUCAGGGCUUAACCCUGAGCCUGCUUCCGAUACGGGCAGACUAGAGGUAUGCAGGGGAGAACGGAAUUCCUGGUGUAGCGGUGAAAUGCGCAGAUAUCAGGAGGAACACCGGUGGCGAAGGCGGUUCUCUGGGCCGAUACUGACACUGAGGAGCGAAAGCGUGGGGAGCGAACAGG
rnacentral:rRNA from 1 species